rnacentral:rRNA from 1 species
UUUUAUGGAGAGUUUGAUCCUGGCUCAGGAUGAACGCUGGCGGCGUGCCUAAUACAUGCAAGUCGAGCGAACAGACGAGGAGCUUGCUUCUCUGACGUUAGCGGCGGACGGGUGAGUAACACGUGGAUAACCUACCUAUAAGACUGGGAUAACUUCGGGAAACCGGAGCUAAUACCGGAUAAUAUAUUGAACCGCAUGGUUCAAUAGUGAAAGACG